rnacentral:rRNA from 1 species
GACGAACGCUGGCGGCGUGCCUAACACAUGCAAGUCGAGCGGGGUCCAUCCGGUAGCAAUACCGGGGAAGACCUAGCGGCGAACGGUGAGUAACACGUGAGAAACCUGCCCCGAAGUCUGGGAUAACCCGAGGAAACUCGAGCUAAUACCGGAUGUCUUCUUCUGAUCGCAUGGUCGGAUGAAGAAAGAUUUAUCGCUUCGGGAGGGUCUCGCGGCCUAUCAGCUAGUUGGCGGGUAACGGCCACCAAGGCGUCGACGGGUAGCUGGUCUGAGAGGACGAUCAGCCACACUGGGACUGAGACACGGCCCAGACUCCUACGGGAGGCAGCAGUGGGGAAUAUUGCGCAAUGGCGAAAGCCUGACGCAGCAACGCCGCGUGCGGGAUGAAGGCCUUC